UCCAGCCACUCUUCCCCAAGCCUGUAGCGUUGCAUGGGGUUGUUGUGACCAAAGUGCAGGACCUGGCUCUUGGCCUUGUAGAACCUCAUACAGUUGUCCCCGGCCCAUCCAUC